GAGGGUAGUAAAAAGUCAAUUUCUUGACAAUGAAAUCAUUUUGAUGACAGUACAGUUCUUAGAAAUCCUGAUAGUCUUGUGCUUGGAACUAUGAUCGUUUGAUUCUGAAGUAGUAGGUUAUGUUAACAGAAUCUUGACUAUUUGUUUGGCAUUAUCAACCACCUAAAGAAAUUAUUUUUUUAAUAAAUCUUUUCUUGCCCCCAUCAGAUAUUUACAUGAGUACCUUUCCUUGACAAUCAGCAUUCUGUAGCAUAGAUGUGUAUAUCAUGCUGAAAAAACAUAUCUUUAGAGACAAAAUUUGAUUGUAUUUUCAAUUUUAAUUCUUUUCUUCACCACUGAAUCAAAAUUCAAAGACAUAUUAUCGACUUCCAACUGUUUCCUCUAAUUAAUGUGAAAUAUAUGAAGAUUAAAUGAGUUAAUGUUUGAAAAGACAGAAGAUGCUCAAUAACUGUGCCCUUAGGAGAUGGAGUUACCUUCUGGGUGAACUAUUUUAACUUCUUGAUUUAUUAGAAAACAUCAUACCAAAGAUACAUUUUGGAUGGUAUAGAAGAAAAGAUUGAUCUUAUAAGAUGAUAAUCUGUUGAGCUUUAUGGCAUUGGAAAGCAGACUAGGCUUCAUAGGAAAUUUACAGCUAGGAUUGGAGAUACUGUAGAUGAUGUGCCUGACACGUAGUUGGAGGAAGACAAUUCUCCAUGAUCAUCCUAUAUUUCAAGCCCUCUGAGAAAAGGCAUUUAUAGCCAAUGUUUGUAUAAGGAGAUAUUUCAGGAAAGUAAAGCUGAAUACAUCCCCUCCCUGAAGACAUCCUGGGACAAUAAAGAGCAGAGAAUGGGCGUGUCACCAGCAGCCCUAUAUACGAUCAGAGUUUCCUAAUUUUGGAGUUCCUUUCCUUUGAUGCACAAGCAACAUCUGGCACUCACAACAUCACCCUGUGGGAACUGGAGCCUUAAGGAAUCCGUGCAAAAUAUUGCUGUUGCUGCUGCUUUGUUGUGUGUAAUAAAUGGCCUUUGUCUCUGACCCAGACA